AACGACCAGAGCAGGAAGAAAAAGGGUAAAACCCUAAACUCCACAAAAUCUUCCAAUUGAAGGUGCAAUUGAAGACCAAACUUGGAUUUGAAUACAUAUAAACGAUCACCGAGCUAAGGGGAUCGUAAGUUUGACUCUGACAAGCUAGAUGGGAGCUUGGAAAUGAACGGGUCAAAUGGAUACAAGUUCAAGUAUGAAGCUCGCAAGGAUGCAAGGUUGCAGAAACAAACCUGCUGGAAAAUGGUGACCCUCGCGCCACGCGAAGGACCAAGAUGGAUGGGGCACGACACGCGGCCACG